AACGAACGCUGGCGGCAGGCCUAACACAUGCAAGUCGAGCGAGAAGGGUUCUUCGGGACCUGGGCAGCGGCGGGCGGGUGAGUAACGCGUGGGAAUAUACCUUUUGGUGGGGGACAACAGUUGGAAACGACUGCUAAUACCGCAUACGCCCUUCGGGGGAAAGAUUUAUCGGAGAAGGAUUAGCCCGCGUUAGAUUAGGUAGUUGGUGGGGUAAUGGCCUACCAAGCCUACGAUCUAUAGCUGGUUUGAGAGGAUGAUCAGCCACACUGGGACUGAGACACGGCCCAG
rnacentral:rRNA from 1 species